rnacentral:misc_RNA from 1 species
GGAAAUUCCCAAAUCACGCCGUUGUACGAUUGUUGGAUGCGUGAAGUAGGUUGCAUUGAUCAAAAGUUGGGACCUUUCCACAGAGAAGAAUUUUUUUUUUUGGAUUUUUUUAUGCAAAAUGCCAGGAAAUAGAGAGCUUAUGGGCUGUUACUUGCACACUCUUUGCUCCUACUGGUUUCUCUCAUUGUUAAUUCUCUUUGCAGAUUUGGUGUUGGUGGGUUGUCUUCCUUUUGCCCUUCGGAACUCUAAUUCAGGCUCUAAAUCAAGUCUUUUUUAACUGGGCAUCGGAACAUCUCAAGUUUUGUGGCUUUGUCAUGCUCUUUUUCACAGUGGCUGUGCUGUGAAAUUUGAUUUUUUGGUUGUUACAUUGUGAGAGUGUUGAAGGAGGGGAAAAGAUGGGGGACAAAGGUGAAGUUUUGGAGGCUGUUUUGAAGGAAACUGUGGAUUUGGAAAACAUACCCAUUGAGGAAGUGUUUGAGAAUCUGAGAUGCAGCAAAGACGGUCUUACAAUUGAGGCUGCCGAGGAGAGGUUGACCAUUUUUGGCCACAACAGGCUUGAAGAGAAAAAGGAGAGCAAAUUCUUGAAGUUUUUGGGGUUUAUGUGGAAUCCUCUGUCAUGGGUUAUGGAGGCUGCUGCUAUUAUGGCUAUUGCUCUUGCAAAUGGAGGAGGGAAACCUCCCGAUUGGCAAGACUUCGUUGGUAUUAUUACUCUGCUUUUAAUCAACUCCACUAUCAGUUUUAUUGAGGAAAACAACGCUGGUAAUGCUGCUGCCGCUCUCAUGGCUCGUCUCGCUCCACAAGCUAAGGUUCUUCGAGAUGGAAGGUGGAGUGAACAUGAUGCUGCCGUUUUAGUUCCUGGUGACAUUAUUAGCAUCAAACUUGGAGAUAUUAUUCCAGCUGAUGCUCGUUUACUAGAAGGUGAUCCACUGAAAAUUGACCAGUCAGCACUUACUGGUGAGUCUCUUCCUGUGACAAAAGGAUCUGGAGAUGGUGUUUACUCUGGUUCUACUUGCAAGCAAGGAGAGAUUGAAGCAGUGGUUAUUGCUACUGGUGUCCAUACCUUCUUUGGGAAGGCUGCUCACCUUGUGGAUACCACGAACCAAGUGGGCCACUUCCAAAAGGUCUUGACUGCAAUUGGGAAUUUUUGUAUAUGUUCAAUUGGUGUGGGGAUGGUUAUAGAGAUUAUUGUCAUGUACCCCAUUCAAGAUCGAAAAUAUCGUCCUGGAAUUGACAAUCUUCUUGUGCUUCUCAUUGGAGGAAUUCCAAUCGCCAUGCCAACUGUCUUGUCAGUAACAAUGGCAAUUGGUUCUCAUAGGUUAUCUCAGCAGGGUGCCAUCACAAAGAGAAUGACUGCAAUUGAAGAGAUGGCAGGCAUGGAUGUGCUUUGCAGUGACAAGACUGGAACUCUG